rnacentral:rRNA from 1 species
GCGAAAACUUUACAAUGCUGGCAACAGCGAUAAGGGAACCUCGAGUGCCAGGUUACAAAUCUGGCUGUCGAGAUGCCUAAAAAGCAUUUCAUAGCAAGGGCCGGGCAAGACCGGUGCCAGCCGCCGCGGUAACACCGGCGGCUCGAGUGGUAACCGUUAUUAUUGGGUCUAAAGGGUCUGUAGCCGGCCGGAUAAGUCUCUUGAGAAAUCUGGCAGCUUAACUGUCAGGCUUUCAGGAGAUACUGUCUGGCUCGAGGCCGGGAGAGGUGAGAGGUACUUCAGGGGUAGGGGUGAAAUCUUGUAAUCCUGGAAGGACCACCAGUGGCGAAGGCGUCUCUCCAGAACGGAGCUGACGGCAAGGGACGAAAGCUAGGGGCACGAACC